rnacentral:rRNA from 1 species
AUGGAUGGGAUGGCACCUAUGGAGUUGGCUCCUAGUCUUUUUAGCCUUGCAAGGCACAAGCAAAUCUCAGUUGCGGAUGCUAUCCGGGAGGGCGGUUGGAUGAAAGGUCUACAGCACAUGACCACUGCUGAUCUACUGCAUUCCUUUGUCACUCUUUGGCAUAAAUUUCAACAAUUUCAAGCGAACGAGGAGGAUGACAAGAUUACUUGGAAUCUCAUGGUCAAUGGAGACUACUCUGCCAAGUCGGCCUAUGAACAACAAUUCAUUGCUCGGAUCCCAAUGCCACGUUUGCUCAAAGUGUGGAAGACUAAAGGUGAAUCAAAAGUAAAAAAAAUCAUCUUGACUUUAAUCUAG